rnacentral:rRNA from 1 species
UACGUAGGGGGCAAGCGUUGUUCGGAAUUACUGGGCGUAAAGGGCGCGUAGGCGGCACAGCAAGUCGGGAGUGAAAGCCCGGGGCUCAACCCCGGAAUGUCUUUCGAAACCGCUGAGCUCGAGUGCGGAAGAGGCAACUGGAAUUCCCAGUGUAGCGGUGAAAUGCAUAGAUAUUGGGAAGAACACCUGAGGCGAAGGCGGGUUGCUGGGCCGACACUGACGCUGAGGCGCGAAAGCCAGGGGAGCAAACGGG